GUCGAGUCAAUAAUGUCCAUAGAAUCUGAAAUGUUGCAGCGUCUCAGCCUGAUAUUGAGCUUUGAAAGUUCAUCCUGCAAAUGAUUAACUUGAUUUUGUAAAGAGAAGCUUUUGUGUACAAGAUAUGCAAAGCACAUCACCAGUAUCUCUUUGAAGGCUUAAUACAUAGUUUUCCUCAUGAGUCCGUAGAAUCUGAAAUGUUGC
rnacentral:misc_RNA from 1 species